CCUCUAGCUAAGAUCGAUCAGUGAAACGUUUAAGUAGAAAUUAUGGUGCAGUUUAGACUAAUGAUUGUUUUACCAUUGGUAGUUGGUGUGCUACUACAGGAUUGCACAGCCAACCCAAUUUCUUCUGAAGAGGAGUCCGAUCCGGCAAAGCUGUUCUCACCAGAUGAAUUACAGCGUGCAAAUAGCGUAGGAAUAACGGUGGAAAGAUUAGUUGAAGGAAGAUCUGACGGUUUCACAUUCGAAGAAAUGAUGAAAUUACAUGAAUUACGAAAGACAGCGAUUACGGACAAAGGACCGUCUUCCACCACCUCUGAACAUAUGAAAAAAGUUUGUAAGAUAUUGGCACCUGAACAAAAAAUAUUAAAAGAUUUAACCAGCGCUCAGGAAGCAAAAUUAUCAGAUAUGGACAAAGUGAUGAAUCAUUUGGUUAGCAAACGCGACCCUUUCGAUUUGGGUGGUAAUAAUCCGAUCGACAGAAAAUUCAUUUUGAUCGACCAAAAAUAAAAUUCUACCAACUGAAAAUUACAGUUCACCGACCGAAAGGUGAUCGACUAAAAAUUCAAAAUAAUCGACCUUGAAUUAAGAUUUGAUCGACAUCGUCAGUACCUUCCAUUCAAUAAAUAUGCCCGACUAGAAUUUACCGUACGAAUAUGCCGCUAAUCGACUCAGAAAUAUGAAUUACCGACGAAGAUGGUACUUUGUAGUUAAAGGAUGGGUUCGGUAAAUUUGAAUUUUUGGUCGUUAGUUAUUAUUCUGUCCAGUAAUUUGCAUUUUUCGUCGAUACUCUAUUAUUUGGGUCGAUCGUUUUCUGUCGACACAUAAUUUUAUUGAUGGAUCAAUUACAGUAGGUGAGUUGAAAUUACGUGGCGGUACUUAAUCUAUCUCUGUCGGUCGUAAUGUUAUUUACAACCGAGCACAAAUAGUUAUUUUCGACUAUUUAUUCCAGGUGUCCAACAUGUCCUUACGUGUCCUACGGGAGCAUCCAUAAAGGACUUCCGCACAAUUUUUAGGAAAACUUUUCAUGAAAUGCAUGAACUCUGCAGUUUUUUUCUAAAUACAAAUCCAAAAUUGUUUUUGAUACAACAUUACGUAAAACGAGACGAAGCUAUUUUUGACUAUUUUUGCGUGUGAGGAUCAAAAUGAGACAAGACUCAAAAUGAAUAACAAGGAAAUCGCUCUAGAAAAAAUUUCAGAUUUUCUUAUCAAUCAUCAAUGCACACUCGAUCGCGUCCGCAAAAGUAUAUGAAAUUCUAUUCUGAAAUAUUUCGGUGCGAGCAGAAAAUACCGGAAAUUUAAUUGAUAAUACUGACUCAAAAAUCAGUACAGCAACUUAUAAUUUAUUUAUACCGUAAACGAAAUCAAGAAUACCGACCAAAAUUACCGAAGAAAAAAUUAAAAUUAACGACGCACAAUCUGCAAGUAACGACUAUUAAAAACAACGACCGACCAUUUAAUUAAAAAACUGACCAAAAAAGAAAUUACCGACCGGAACAGAUCGACAGAAAUAAUAAAUUACCGACGGACAAGUGAUCGACUAUUAAAUUAGGUUACCGACGAUAAAUUCAAAGUUACCGAAACGUAAGUCGAAAGUACCGGAAACAUACUAUCGACGGAAAAUACGAAACUACCGACUGAAAAUUUUAUUAACCGGUCGAUCAAACACAUUAAACGGUCGAUCGAAAAGAUUUUUGGCCGGUAGUUUUACUAUUUCAGUCGAUCUUUCGUUUUAUUGGUCGGUAAUUUUUAAUUUUUUGUCGAUCUACUUCUGUCGGUACAUUUGAUUUUAUUUUCGGUGAAAUUGAAUAAAUGGAUGGUAAAUUAUAAUUUCAGUCGAUCAAAUCAAUGUUUGGUCCGGUACUUUCGAUUUAUUGUACUCGGCCAAUAUAAUGUUCCUUUCGAUUUUAUUGUAAUAAAUUUUGCAAACGAAGAUGUUGCAAAAACACAUGAAUGAUUUUCACAAACUUUUUAGCGAUCAAACCUUUGUAGUUAUUUAAGUCAACAUGAUGUACUUGAAAUGGAGGCUAAUUCAUUCGGUUUACCAUUGGUUCCGUACCUGGAAAUUCGUUUCUUCAAGUCAACAGCUCAAAAAGCUUCGUCAAGCGCCGAACAUGUUAUAGUGGCUAAACAAAUUUGCUGCUUGCGUAUAAACCGAAGUGAGAACGGGGUAGUUGUUGGAUAGAUCGACAUUCAAUGGAGAAUUGCCCGAUGCAGAUUUGAUUGGAUUUGUCGAACAAUGGAAUGCAUUCGAAACUUCAAAGACAUUGAAAUCAUUGGAAAACGUCUGCGAUUUUCUACAAACCAAAGAACACACCAACGACAAAUGCUUGGUAGCUACGCCAAUUGAUGGACCAAUUGAUGAAUCAGUUGAUUUGUAAAUUUGUAUAGUCCGAAAUAAAGUAAAAUUGCAUCCAGA